UCAGAUUGAACGCUGGCGGCAGGCUUAACACAUGCAAGUCGAGCGGUAGCACAGAGAGCUUGCUCUCGGGUGACGAGCGGCGGACGGGUGAGUAAUGUCUGGGAAACUGCCUGAUGGAGGGGGAUAACUACUGGAAACGGUAGCUAAUACCGCAUAACGUCGCAAGACCAAAGUGGGGGACCUUCGGGCCUCAUGCCAUCAGAUGUGCCCAGAUGGGAUUAGCUAGUAGGUGGGGUAACGGCUCACCUAGGCGACGAUCCCUAGCUGGUCUGAGAGGAUGACCAGCCACACUGGAACUGAGACACGGUCCAGACUCCUACGGGAGGCAGCAGUGGGGAAUAUUGCACAAUGGGCGCAAGCCUGAUGCAGCCAUGCCGCGUGUAUGAAGAAGGCCUUCGGGUUGUAAAGUACUUUCAGCGGGGAGGAAGGCGAUAAGGUUAAUAACCUUGUCGAUUGACGUUACCCGCAGAAGAAGCACCGGCUAACUCCGUGCCAGCAGCCGCGGUAAUACGGAGGGUGCAAGCGUUAAUCGGAAUUACUGGGCGUAAAGCGCACGCAGGCGGUCUGUCAAGUCGGAUGUGAAAUCCCCGGGCUCAACCUGGGAACUGCAUUCGAAACUGGCAGGCUAGAGUCUUGUAGAGGGGGGUAGAAUUCCAGGUGUAGCGGUGAAAUGCGUAGAGAUCUGGAGGAAUACCGGUGGCGAAGGCGGCCCCCUGGACAAAGACUGACGCUCAGGUGCGAAAGCGUGGGGAGCAAACAGGAUUAGAUACCCUGGUAGUCCACGCCGUAAACGAUGUCGAUUUGGAGGUUGUGCCCUUGAGGCGUGGCUUCCGGAGCUAACGCGUUAAAUCGACCGCCUGGGGAGUACGGCCGCAAGGUUAAAACUCAAAUGAAUUGACGGGGGCCCGCACAAGCGGUGGAGCAUGUGGUUUAAUUCGAUGCAACGCGAAGAACCUUACCUGGUCUUGACAUCCACAGAACUUAGCAGAGAUGCUUUGGUGCCUUCGGGAACUGUGAGACAGGUGCUGCAUGGCUGUCGUCAGCUCGUGUUGUGAAAUGUUGGGUUAAGUCCCGCAACGAGCGCAACCCUUAUCCUUUGUUGCCAGCGGUUAGGCCGGGAACUCAAAGGAGACUGCCAGUGAUAAACUGGAGGAAGGUGGGGAUGACGUCAAGUCAUCAUGGCCCUUACGACCAGGGCUACACACGUGCUACAAUGGCAUAUACAAAGAGAAGCGACCUCGCGAGAGCAAGCGGACCUCAUAAAGUAUGUCGUAGUCCGGAUUGGAGUCUGCAACUCGACUCCAUGAAGUCGGAAUCGCUAGUAAUCGUAGAUCAGAAUGCUACGGUGAAUACGUUCCCGGGCCUUGUACACACCGCCCGUCACACCAUGGGAGUGGGUUGCAAAAGAAGUAGGUAGCUUAACCUUCGGGAGGGCGCUUACCACUUUGUGAUUCAUGACUGGGGUGAAUCAAAA
rnacentral:rRNA from 1 species